CUCUUCUUCGAGAUCUCCAAGAGGUGUAAUUGGGUAAAGAUAUUCAGCCAUUUCUGUGUUUCUAAACCAAAUUGCAAUUUUAAGUGGGGUAUAUCCACUUUUACUUCUAAGUGGGUUAUAUCCACUUUUACUUCGAAUUGCUGGCAAAUUCUUGUUUUUAUGGUACAUGACCUUGGCAAUUUCAACGACCCCUGAUACAGCUGCAGUACAGAAAGCCGUAUAUCCAUAUUCAUUCUUCAAUUCCAGUUCACUUUCUUUCAAGCAUUCAACUAGAUGGCAGACAAAAGCAGUUUGUUUGGCUGACACAGCUAUGUGAAGAGCUGUAUUUCCUUCUUUUGUUAUUAUAAUAUUUCAGGCUAUAUUUCUUUCCAAACUCACACUUCCUUUAGCAGCCUUCCAAUCACCUUUUAGAGCAGCUUUGUGUAAUGUGUUUACUCUUCCUGAUGAUGUUUGGGGAGA
rnacentral:lncRNA from 1 species